ACAUGCAAGUCGAACGCUUUGUGGUCCAACUGAUUUGAAGAGCUUGCUCAGAUAUGACGAUGGACAUUGCAAAGAGUGGCGAACGGGUGAGUAACACGUGGGAAACCUACCUCUUAGCAGGGGAUAACACUUGGAAACAAGUGCUAAUACCGUAUAACACUAAUAACCGCAUGGUUAUUAGUUAAAAGAUGGUCUUGCUAUCACUAAGAGAUGGUCCCGCGGUGUAUUAGCUAGUUGGUAAGGUAAUGGCUUACCAAGGCAAUGAUACAUAGCCGAGUUGAGAGACUGAUCGGCCACAAUGGGACUGAGACACGGCCCAUACUCCUACGGGAGGCAGCAGUAGGGAAUCUUCCACAAUGGACGAAAGUCUGAUGGAGCAACGCCGCGUGUGUGAUGAAGGGUUUCGGCUCGUAAAACACUGUUGUAAGAGAAGAAUGACAUUGAGAGUAACUGUUCAGUGUGUGACGGUAUCUUACCAGAAAGGAACGGCUAAAUACGUGCCAGCAGCCGCGGUAAUACGUAUGUUCCAAGCGUUAUCCGGAUUUAUUGGGCGUAAAGCGAGCGCAGACGGUUAUUUAAGUCCGAAGUGAAAGCCCACAGCUUAACUGUGGAAGUGCUUUGGAAACUGGAUAACUUGAGUGCAGUAGAGGAGAGUGGAACUCCAUGUGUAGCGGUGAAAUGCGUAGAUAUAUGGAAGAACACCAGUGGCGAAGCGGCUCUCUGGACUGUAACUGACGUUGAGGCUC
rnacentral:rRNA from 1 species